rnacentral:tRNA from 1 species
CCACCGCCUGGUGCGGCUGGGCACCGGCGCGUUGGCCGCCGCCGUGCGCGAAGGCGGACUGCUGCUGAUCGAGCCGACGGCGGUGGUC